AAGCAGGAAUCAAGCAGUCUGAACGACCGUUCUGGGCUCCAUAACCAGCCAAGCGAAGUGAGCGAGGCAGGCCGACCUGAGUCGCGACGUGCACUGUUUUGAGGUGAUUCGUAAACUUAGGCAGGCCAACUCGAGACGAGACGCAAGGUGUACCGAAGUGAGACGCCCAUCCGGAGGAGGACUUCGCUGGGACAAAAUAGAAUAUUGAACUAUUAUUUGGACUUAUUUUGUACAUAAUUUAGAAUUAAUAGAUGUGCUUUGUUU
rnacentral:lncRNA from 1 species